rnacentral:tRNA from 1 species
GCCUGGGUGGCUCAGUCGGUUAAGCAUCCGACUUCAGCUCAGGUCAUGAUCUCAGGGUUUGUGGGUUUGAGCCCCACGUCGGGCU